CCGGGACUCGGGAUGCGACAGCCUUCCAGACUUGAAGCCGCCCCACUUGCGCAGAGUGGGUGGUCUGUGUGUUGCUCUGUCACUUUCAGCGUGGGAUGACCCUGCUCCUGCAGUCUCCCAGAUCACGUGAGGCUGCCCCGCCCUGCCAUCAUUUAUCAGGCAUUGAUCUCAUCUUACAAAAUCUGAAACACAUCAUGGCCAGGAUAUGGCACCCAUCUGGCUUCAUUUGUCACCAGGAUGCUGUUCUGCCACAUGGGCUGAUGUGGUGUUUUUGCAAGAAGGAUAUUUCUGACCCAGCUCCGAAUCUGAGGUCCAUCUGUCCAGUUUUACUGAUCCCUGAUACACUUUAGAAAACCUGUAGUAAGGCUGGAUAAGACUGAAUGUCCUAUCCGGGGCCUAGUCACUUGUCACCUGAGGCAGGAUGUAUGUCACAGAAUGGCUGCAACUGUACCAUCUAUCUUCCAUACACUUCUUACAGUAUGACCCUGACUCCAACUUAUCCAUUAAGAUGAGGGGUCUACUGUCCUCCAUUCAAGUGGGCUUGUCACUAGAGGGGGAAUGAUGCUGUGUGAUGCCUGAAAAUAAGCCAGAAUGGUGGUGAAGCUUCCUCUGGUUCUUUUUUUGUUUGUCUUGGGGUUUUUUUGGUACCAGGGAUCGAAACUCGGGUCCUUGGGCUUG
rnacentral:lncRNA from 1 species